CCGCUGGGGAAGAGGGGACAGAGUAUUUCACUUAAAGUUUAUAUGUUCAACAAAUGGCUACCUUCUCAUAUGAAAGAAAUAUGAAAGAAAGCAAAAAUGUGUGAGAUUAAACAUUUGAGGUAUAUACAGAAACAGAAAGCUCAGCUUAUGACACUUACCAAUAGUGCAGACUCCUGGAGACUGGAAUUCGCAGUAUCAAAUACCAAAUUUCUCUGGUCAAUAAAUUAACU